CCAAUCACCCACACACCCACGACCCCUUCUCUCCCACGCACCCACGGCUGCCAACCCUAGCCCUCUCCCUCCCACAGAUCUCAAUCGGCCCCGCCCCAACCCAAUCCCUAUCCCCACGUAGCCCAGCCCAAUCCGCCGCCGUCCUCUUCUCCAGUCGCACCGGUGACCUCCAACCUCAUCGCCGGCAGCCCCUCCCCUCUCCUCCUAGAUCCACUCGGGCUACUCAUGUCGUGGCCAGAUCCGGCAGGAACUCCCUCCCUCCCACCUCGCUCCACAUCCCGAUCCAGAUGCACAUACAGAUAGAGCUUUGGGCGCUCCUGCUCGGCUGCUCACGAGCACGGUCCUUGGACGACGUGGAUGUGCGCGAGGUGAUGCUAUACCGGACCGGGCUGGUCACGGCCACCGCCUCCGUCCUGGUGGCCACCUCGGGGGUGUUCCUGCCUGAGGAGAACGCGGUCGGUGACGCCAUCCGGGAGGGCGCCGACCUCUUCUACGCCGCCGGGGCCGGGGGGCUCACCCCCCCUCCGCGCGCAGUUCACCAUCCCGGAUCUCCGCCCCGGCAUGCUCGACUCCCUGCUUGCGCUCAGCGAUGACCUCGUCAAGUACAACAUCUUCAUCGAGGGCAUCUCCCACAAUAUCCGUCGGCAAAUCGAGGACCUGGAGCGUGCCGUAGGGGUCGAGCCCGGCACCCUCACCGUCGACGGCGUCCCCAUCGACAGCUACCUCACCGGGUCCGUCUUUGGCCGUGGCCAGUGCUGCUUCUUACAUUGCUCAUCUGCCUACCAGCGCUUGCUUACGUUGUACCCCGUCAAUGCCCCGCUCAAGGAGACCUUCGCCAGCAUCCAAUCCCAGGCCGCCAAGAUCCAGGAUGACAUGAAGGAGUUCAUUCUAUGCAGCCGGAGGUGUACGAGUUCAAGAUCGGCGGCCAGUUUUUUCGGAGGCCUGGAGACCCACCCUUGGACCAAGUUAUCGAGAUUCUACAGAAGCACAAGGAUAAGUCUCAAGAUGAAAUCUAGCUAGCUGGCUAUAGUAUGCCUUAUGCUCUUGUUGAUUUAUUUCUUUUGUGCUCUUUUGUAGUUCUAUAUUGAUGAGUGACUCAAAUUAGAAAUAUAUUCCAAUGUGUCUUUAUGUUUGGCAUCCACCAUUCACUGGCUCAGUGGCAUACCUUUUUACGGAGUCCCUAUACAGGUUAUUAUUCAUGUCAAUUUUAUGAUCAAAUUUGAGAUAUACUUACAAUGAGUAUUUGUGUUUGGCAUCUGCCAUUCUGGUUCUAGAUAUACUUACAUCGCUUCAUUCAAAUUUGACGCGCAACUGGUAUUUUUGAAAUGUUUCCUUCUGCUUGAUUUGUCGCCCAGCUGGUAUCUUUGAAAUGUUUCCUUUUGCUUGAUGAAUCAUUAGUUGUGCUUCUAAUAAUGUUUUCUGCCAGUACCUUAACUUUGGAGCUGGCUAUUUACUCUUUUCAGUGUACUAACCAAUCCUCUUUCCAGGUUGUCAAUUUGGAGCUGGCUAUUUACUGUCAGUGCAUUCAGCAACCUGACCUCCACGGCUCCAUGCAUGGUUGACUGGCCGAGCUCUGAGCUAGCAUGACCAUGGAUGCGGCUCUCGUCAGCAUGGCGACAGGGGUCCUCAAACCUGUCAUAGCGAAGCUGAUCGUUCUUCUUGGCAACAAGAAGAUGAUAAACCUUUUUAAGAUCAAGGGGCAGAAGAAGGAAGAGAUGUCUAACUCAAAUGGGGGGCCUCCUGUUAAGAAGCAAAGUCCAGAUGUCCUUUGUUCAUUGAAGUGCUGACUACUGCAACAAGUCCCAUGAUGAAGAAGCAAGAAUCCGCACCCAGCAAAGAGUAACUCAUUGGAGCUUGUUAUUGAUUGAUCUUUUUGUGUAUUAGAAAACUGGGUACUAUGUACUAUUAUUGUAAUGUACCAAGUUUGGAUGUAUUGAGAAAUAUUCUGUAUUUAUAGCCUAUAUUUGAACUGGAAAUAGACUGAAAAUGAUGCA